AGGGCACCACCAGGAGUGGAGCCUGCGGCUUAAUUUGACUCAACACGGGAAAACUCACCCGGCCCGGACACUGGAAGGAUUGACAGAUUGAGAGCUCUUUCUUGAUUCAGUGGGUGGUGGUGCAUGGCCGUUCUUAGUUGGUGGAGUGAUUUGUCUGGUUAAUUCCGAUAACGAACGAGACUCUAGCCUAUUAAAUAGAUCGUUGGCUUACAAACGCCGGCGAGACUUCUUAGAGGGACAGGCGGCGAUUCAGCCGCACGAAACAGAGCAAUAACAGGUCUGUGAUGCCCUUAGAUGUCCGGGGCCGCACGCGUGCUACACUGAAGUGAUCAGCGUGCAUUCUGAAACCUACUCUGUCAAGAGUGGGGAACCCAAUGAACCUUCUUCGUGACUGGGAUAGGGGAUUGUAAUUAUUCCCCUUGAACGAGGAAUUCCCAGUAAGCGCGAAUCAUAAGUUUGCGCUGAUUACGUCCCUGCCCUUUGUACACACCGCCCGUCGCUACUACCGAUUGAAUGUUU
rnacentral:rRNA from 1 species